rnacentral:rRNA from 1 species
UACGUAGGUGGCAAGCGUUGUCCGGAAUUACUGGGUGUAAAGGGAGCGCAGGCGGGGGAACAAGUCAGCUGUGAAAUCCAAUGGCUUAACCAUUGAACUGCAGUUGAAACUGUUCUUCUUGAGUAAAGUAGAGGUUGGCGGAAUUCCGAGUGUAGCGGUGAGAUGCGUAGAUAUUCGGAGGAACACCGGUGGCGAAGGCGGCCAACUGGGCCUUUACUGACGCUGAGGCUCGAAAGUGUGGGGAGCAAAC